CAGCAGGACGGUGGUCAUGGAAGUCG
rnacentral:ncRNA from 2 species